GCGGAGCUCGCUCCCGGGGCUACCCUACUCCCGUAGGGUUUAGAGUCGUCGGGCCUCUCGGAGAAGCUCGGUCCUGAACUCCACCCUUGAAUAAACUACCUUUGUUGCUUUGGCGGGCCGCCUCGUGCCAGCGGCUUCGGCUGUUGAGUGCCCGCCAGAGGACCCCAACUCUUGUUUUUAGUGAUGUCUGAGUACUAUAUAAUAGUUAAAACUUUCAACAACGGAUCUCUUGGUUCUGGCAUCGAUGAAGAACGCAGCGAAAUGCGAUAAGUAAUGUGAAUUGCAGAAUUCAGUGAAUCAUCGAAUCUUUGAACGCACAUUGCGCCCUCUGGUAUUCCGGGGGGCAUGCCUGUUCGAGCGUCAUUAUAACCACUCAAGCUCUCGCUUGGUAUUGGGGUUCGCGGUUUCGCGGCCCCUAAAAUCAGUGGCGGUGCCUGUCGGCUCUACGCGUAGUAAUACUCCUCGCGAUUGAGUCCGGUAGGUCUACUUGCCAGCAACCCCUAAUUUUUUUAAGGUUGACCUCGGAUCAGGUAGGGAUACCCGCUGAACUUAAGCAUAUCAAUAA
rnacentral:rRNA from 1 species